ACGACAUUAGGCUAACGGUAAACCAUGGCACUUCCAAUGCUACUUUGCGUGUUCGAAUCACGUAUGUCGUA